rnacentral:rRNA from 1 species
UACAGAGGUCUCAAGCGUUGUUCGGAUUCAUUGGGCGUAAAGGGUGCGUAGGCGGCGCGGUAAGUCGGGUGUGAAAUCUCGGAGCUUAACUCCGAAACUGCAUUCGAUACUGCCGUGCUCGAGGACUGGAGAGGAGACUGGAAUUUACGGUGUAACGGUGAAAUGCGUAGAUAUCAAGUGGAACACCAGUGGCGAAGGCGAGUCCCUGGACAACUCCUGACACUGAGGCACGAAAGCUAGGGGAGCAAACAGG